GACGUAGGGCGCAAGCGUUUGUCCGGAUUUAUUGGGCGUAAAGAGCUCGUAGGCGGCUUGUUGCGUCAGCUGUGAAAACCCGCAGCUCAACUGUGGGCUUGCAGCUGAUACGGGCAGGCUUGAGUUCGGUAGGGGAGACUGGAAUUCUGGUGUAGCGGUGAAAUGCGCAGAUAUCAGGAGGAACACCGGUGGCGAAGGCGGGUCUC
rnacentral:rRNA from 1 species